AAAACACGGUGUUAUACCUGUAUCGACGUUGUUUCCUUUUGCCGGAAUGUGAAGAGCUCGGUGUUGAAUCGAAAGAACUGGAAGGGUCAAUACUUUCAGUAGGGGGCUGGGUGUCAGCCACAUCUCCAUAAUCAUCUAAAAUAAAAAAAAAAUGAAAAUUCAAAUCUUAUUCACUGUGAUAACUUGUCUUCUUAUUUUUUUAAUUUGCUAUGUUUUUACAAUUCCAAUUUGCAAAUUAAAGUUCAAAUUUUAUAAUGAGAAAUAAUAAAUAUGACCCUAUUAUCGCCCAAAAGGUAGAUUAUUCAAUUGUAUUCAAGGCAAUGGCAACAUAAUUAGAUCAAGGUUUCACAUCACUUUCCCUUUGACAGUAUUACCGGUGUGGUGGAAUAAGAUUUCUCAUCCGGAGUCACUACACUAAAUCCAACCACCAACCCCUUGCGCUAAUUAGCUUAACACUUUAUUAGGUUGAGGUACUAACUAAGUUUAUAUUGCACAGAGGGUGCAUAAUUCAUUUAGUAUAACUUAAUAACAGGAGUUCUUCUGAUCAGUUUUGUCCAGUUAGUUGUAUUGAACAGAUCACUGUCACUUUCUGUAUUCUAUUAGCUGAUAUUCAUCAAGUUUAAAAUAAUCAUUAUAUUUUAUAUUGUGCAAAUCCCUCAUUGGAGGAUGUAAAAAUUGGAAUAGUGCAAUUACUUGUGUGAUACCAGAGUCAUCAAUAGUGAUUGUGAUAGUUAUUAGUGCAAAUACUGGUGCUCUAAUUACUGAAUGAUUUAAAUUAAUGAAUAACAUCAAGACGAAUUACGCAGCAAUUGAUAACAUCAUAGAUUACUUCUUGCAAGAGAUUUCCCAGGAGAGAAGGGAGCCAGCAACGAGGGAGACCCGAGAAUGCCAGAGACGAGAGGAUCCGUCGGAGAAUUUGCUGACAAAAGUCCACUAAUCGAGUAAGAUGCGCUGCCAGAACUACUGCCACUCGCACUUCGCAGUUCCGAUAUGUCGAUGAAUUGCUUUAUAUCCAUUUUCUAUUUAUUUCAUACUCGACAUUUUUAUAAAUAACAGAAUCGAAUAAAACAAAAUAAUCAAUACCGUA